UGCCAGCAGCCGCGGUAAUACGGAGGAUCCAAGCGUUAUCCGGAUUCAUUGGGUUUAAAGGGUCCGUAGGCGGAUUUUUAAGUCAGUGGUGAAAGCCGACAGCUCAACUGUCGAACUGCCAUUGAUACUGGAAAUCUUGAGUACAAAUGAAGUAGGCGGAAUGAGUCAUGUAGCGGUGAAAUGCAUAGAUAUGACUCAGGACACCGAUUGCGAAGGCAGCUUACUAACAUGUAACUGACGCUGAGGGACGAAAGCGUGGGGAGCGAACAGGAUUAGAUA
rnacentral:rRNA from 1 species